AUUGAACGCUGGCGGCAUGCUUUACACAUGCAAGUCGAACGGCAGCGCGGGGCAACCUGGCGGCGAGUGGCGAACGGGUGAGUAAUAUAUCGGAACGUACCCAAGAGUGGGGGAUAACGUAGCGAAAGUUACGCUAAUACCGCUUACGAUCUAAGGAUGAAAGUGGGGGAUCGCAAGACCUCAUGCUCCUGGAGCGGCCGAUAUCUGAUUAGCUAGUUGGUGAGGUAAAGGCUCACCAAGGCGACGAUCAGUAGCUGGUCUGAGAGGACGACCAGCCACACUGGAACUGAGACACGGUCCAGACUCCUACGGGAGGCAGCAGUGGGGAAUUUUGGACAAUGGGCGCAAGCCUGAUCCAGCAAUGCCGCGUGAGUGAAGAAGGCCUUCGGGUUGUAAAGCUCUUUUGUCAGGGAAGAAACGGUAGAGGCUAAUAUCCUUUGCUAAUGACGGUACCUGAAGAAUAAGCACCGGCUAACUACGUG
rnacentral:rRNA from 1 species